rnacentral:rRNA from 1 species
UACGGAGGGUGCAAGCGUUAAUCGGAAUUACUGGGCGUAAAGCGCACGCAGGCGGUUGGAUAAGUUAGAUGUGAAAGCCCCGGGCUCAACCUGGGAAUUGCAUUUAAAACUGUUCUGCUAGAGUCUUGUAGAGGGGGGUAGAAUUCCCGGUGUAGCGGUGAAAUGCGUAGAGAUCUAGAGGAAUACCGGUGGCGAAGGCGGCCCUCUGGACAAAGACUGACGCUCAGGUGCGAAAGCGUGGGGAGCAAACAGG